CACUCCUACGGGAGGCAGCAGUGGGGAAUUUUGGACAAUGGGCGAAAGCCUGAUCCAGCAAUGCCGCGUGAGUGAAGAAGGCCUUCGGGUUGUAAAGCUCUUUUGUCAGGGAAGAAACGGUGAAAGCUAAUAUCUUUUGCUAAUGACGGUACCUGAAGAAUAAGCACCGGCUAACUACGUACCAGCAGCCGCGGUAAUACGUAGGGUGCAAGCGUUAAUCGGAAUUACUGGGCGUAAAGCGUGCGCAGGCGGUUUUGUAAGUCUGAUGUGAAAUCCCCGGGCUCAACCUGGGAAUUGCAUUGGAGACUGCAAGGCUAGAAUCUGGCAGAGGGGGGUAGAAUUCCACGUGUAGCAGUGAAAUGCGUAGAUAUGUGGAGGAACACCGAUGGCGAAGGCAGCCCCCUGGGUCAAGAUUGACGCUCAUGCACGAAAGCGUGGGGAGCAAACAGGAUUAGAAACCCGUGUAGUCCCAUGA
rnacentral:rRNA from 1 species